UUUAAAAUCUAAAAAUGAUAGGUAACUAUCCUAUAUUA
rnacentral:tRNA from 1 species